rnacentral:rRNA from 1 species
AUUGAACGCUGGCGGCAGGCCUAACACAUGCAAGUCGAACGAGCGGCGGACGGGUGAGUAAUGUCUGGGAAACUGCCUGAUGGAGGGGGAUAACUACUGGAAACGGUAGCUAAUACCGCAUACCAUCAGAUGUGCCCAGAUGGGAUUAGCUAGUAGGUGGGGUAACGGCUCACCUAGGCGACGAUCCCUAGCUGGUCUGAGAGGAUGACCAGCCACACGGGAACGGAGAAACGGUCAAGACGCCGACGGGAGGCGGGAGGGGGGAAUAGGGCACAAUGGGCGAAAGCCUGAUGCAGGCAUGCCGCGUGUGGGAAGAAGGCCUUCGGGUUGUAAAGCACUGUCAGCGGGGAGGCGUUACCCGCAGAAGAAGCACCGGCUAACUCCGUGCCAGCAGCCGCGGUAAUUC